rnacentral:rRNA from 1 species
GAGGAAAAGAAACUAACAAGGAUUCCCCUAGUAACGGCGAGUGAAGCGGGAAGAGCUCAAAUUUGAAAUCUGGUGGCCUCAGGUCAUCCGAGUUGUAAUCUAUAGAAGUGUUUUCCGUGCUGGCUCAUGUACAAGUCCCUUGGAACAGGGCGUCAUAGAGGGUGAGAAUCCCGUCCUUGACAUGAACUACCAGUGCUCUGUGAUACAUUUUCAACGAGUCGAGUUGUUUGGGAAUGCAGCUCAAAAUGGGUGGUAAAUUCCAUCUAAAGCUAAAUAUUGGCGAGAGACCGAUAGCGAACAAGUACCGUGAGGGAAAGAUGAAAAGCACUUUGGAAAGAGAGUUAAACAGUAUGUGAAAUUGUUAAAAGGGAAACGAUUGAAGUCAGUCGUGCUCUUUGGAUUCAGCCGGUUCUGCCGGUGUACUUCCUUUGAGUGGGGUCAACAUCAGUUUUGAUCGCUGGAUAAAGGCUGGAGGAACGUAGCACCCCCGGGUGAACUUAUAGCCUCCUGUCACAUACAGUGGUUGG